rnacentral:pre_miRNA from 1 species
ACAACAUUUGGACCGUCCGUCUACCGAGGAAUAUCAUCCGCCCGGUGGAAGAUCUUCCCUUUUUCGU